AGCUGUGUGGGGUAGUGGUUUGGGUGCUGGACUAGAACUCAGCAGAUCAGGGUUUAAAUCCUUGCUUAGCUA